UACGGGGGGGGCAAGCGUUGUUCGGAAUUACUGGGCGUAAAGGGCUCGUAGGCGGCCAACUAAGUCAGACGUGAAAUCCCUCGGCUUAACCGGGGAACUGCGUCUGAUACUGGAUGGCUUGAGGUUGGGAGAGGGAUGCGGAAUUCCAGGUGUAGCGGUGAAAUGCGUAGAUAUCUGGAGGAACACCGGUGGCGAAGGCGGCAUCCUGGACCAGCACUGACACUGAGGCACGAAAGCGUGGGGAGCAAACAGG
rnacentral:rRNA from 1 species